UGAGGAAUAUUGCGCAAUGGGGGCAACCCUGACGCAGCGACGCCGCGUGAGUGAGGAAGGCCUUCGGGUCGUAAAGCUCUGUCAAAGGGAAAGAAGUGUAUAAUGGUUAAUACCUGUUAUAUUUGACGGUACCCUUAAAGGAAGCACCGGCUAACUCCGUGCCAGCAGCCGCGGUAAUACGGAGGGUGCAAGCGUUGUUCGGAAUUACUGGGCGUAAAGGGCGCGUAGGCGGUUUGAUAAGUCAGAUGUGAAAGCCCACGGCUUAACUGUGGAAGUGCAUUGGAAACGGUCAGACUUGAGUACCAGAGGGGAAAGUGGAAUUCCCGGUGUAGAGGUGAAAUUCGUAGAUAUCGGGAGGAAUACCGGUGGCGAAGGCGACUUUCUGGCUGGAUACUGACGCUGAGGCGCGAAAGCGUGGGGAGCAAACA
rnacentral:rRNA from 1 species